AACUUUGUGCAGUGGUGGUAUCAUAGCCAAUGAGGUUUACCCGAGGCACAGUUAUUGUUAAAAAAAAAAUUAAAAAACAGAGAAUUCACAUUUAAAAAUUCCAUAUUUCUUGGCUUUCUUUAAAAAUUCAAAGA
rnacentral:snRNA from 1 species